AUGGCAGACAAAAGCUGCAAUACCUGGGAGAAGGACGUAGAUAACACUGUGGGUGUGGUGCGGCCCACCCUGACCGUCCUCCCCCCCUCCAAAGAGGAGGAGGAGCAGCAGAGCAGCGUCACACUGGUGUGUCUGGCCAGCGGAGGCUUCCCCUCAACCUGGAGGCUGGGCUGGAAGGUGGGGGGCAGCAGCAGGUCCUCAGGGGUGUCUAACAGCCUGGAGGUCCUGGGGAGGGACGGCCUCUACAGCUGGAGCAGCACCCUGAGCCUCCCUGCAGACCAGUGGAGGAAGGCGGGCUCAGUGAGCUGUGAGGCCAAUCAGAGUGGACAGAGUCCUGUCACUCAAAGCCUGGACCCUGCCCGCUGCUCAGAGUAGAGCCUCAGCUUCAUGUCUGCAAGUCAGGAUGCUCUCAGAGUUUAUUCAGCAAGAUUACUUUUCAUGUUCAGAGUGAUUUCUAUUUCUAUCAUCUUUGUUCUGUGUGAAAACUUCAAGUUAAUAUCUAAAGAUUUCUCCAUUGUUGGACAAUAAAAGAAUUUAUCUUAUAUUCACCUUUAAUAAACUACAAGCUAAAACA